rnacentral:lncRNA from 1 species
UCUCUGCUUCUUUUUUUGUUUUUUGAUCUUUAUCGUUAUCUUCAUUCACAUUCUUCUGACUGACACACGAUUUUAUCUUUCAUACUACUAUUUCUACUAUCUUUAGUGUUAUUUUUUUUUUUUAACAAAAAUAGCAUGUUACUCACUUCAUUCAUUGGAAUGAUCAAUUAGGUGAAAAAAGCUGAGGCAAUGAGGGUCUCGUAGAA